rnacentral:lncRNA from 1 species
UUAAUAACCUGUAAACGAGCUGAAUCUGAAGGUCUGAGUGAAAUAGCACUUUUGGAACUGUACUUUUUGUCAUAACACGCUGAGGAAAGUGCAGAAGCUCUGUAUAUGCAUGUAUGAGAGGGAUUCAUGCCACGCAUAUGACAAUUUGCAUACUAGACUCUGGUGACAAAGAGGGACCGCAGGUGAAUCCCCAGCGAUCUGCUUUGUGGAGAGGAUUUUUUCCAGCCCCUAAUCACAGAGAAGUAUCCAGCUCUCCAUCUGCUUCCCAGAGUUGGCGGUUCUGAUUUGUUUCAAGUGAAAAUAACCAAGAAUAGAAAAUGGCACGUAAUAAAGAGUCCCAAGCCAAGCAGCCGCGUUGUCCUAUUCUUCUCUUUAAACCAGCACUCCCCCCCGUGCUGAGGGCUCGGUGCCCGGACGACAGACAGGGCUGCAAAGGGUUAAGCCGCUGAUUGCUUGGUAGGCAAAGUUUGAGGAAGAAUAUGUUUGAGGCUGAGUACGCUGCAGCCCGGCGUUUGAAAUCUGUCACCCUCACUUACGAGCACUGCAUCUGUGGUUGUCACCCGUGAAUAAUGAUCGCACGGCGAUAAGAUCGCUCUGCGGCGGUGCGCCGGGGCCGUCGGGGGAAGAAAAGGAAAUUACGAGGCGUUUAGCCUCUUCAGCGGGGUGUUCUUCAGUGUCAUCGGUGGGUGUCAGGGUCAAAUGACCGGCUGGAAAGCAGCUUGGGAAGAAAAUUUCCUUCCUCCUUUCUUUGAGAGAAACCUUCGGUGAUGGUGAUCAGUGACAGCUAUGGAAAACAGAGACCUCGGUGGUGAACCUUAGAAACAGUACCAUGCCGGAGCCCAGCUGUUCUGCCACUUUCUCCCCUUUCAACCUGCCGGACCCAGUGGGCUUUGGGUGACCUACCAAGGAGGACCCAUCUCCACAGGAGCAGAGGACAGAAAAAAAAAAAAAAAACAAGAAAGAAAGAAACCCCAAGACCAAGCGUAGCCGCGGUCCCUUCUGGUUUAUUUUUUUACCGGAGAAGGAGGAACGGCAGGGGGAAGAGAGAGCGAGGAGAGGAGAGAAAGUGCGUUGGGGAUGCCAGAGCCGUGGGCUGCGCGCCGGAGGAGGAGGUGGCGGAUCAGGGGGGAGGACGAUGCCGCCGCCUCGUAAGGGCGGAGGAAGGCGCGGGAGGCGCGGGGGUCGCUCGGAGCGGAGGCUGCCGGUGGGGCACGGGCCCACGGGGCCGGCCGGGAGCGCACCGGCGGAGGGAGGCGAAGGCCUACCACCGAAGAGCGGCGGCCGCAAAGUUUUGGUGUGAGGGGCCAGAGGCGCAGAGGGGGAUUACGAUCGGUGCCGGCGAGGGAUUCCCAGACGCCGCCAGGUACAGUUGGGCUUUCAUUUCUCUCUCUUUUCCUUCCUGGUAA